rnacentral:rRNA from 1 species
GAUGAACGCUGGCGGCGUGCCUAAUACAUGCAAGUCGAGCGAACGGACGAGAAGCUUGCUUCUCUGAUGUUAGCGGCGGACGGGUGAGUAACACGUGGAUAACCUACCUAUAAGACUGGGAUAACUUCGGGAAACCGGAGCUAAUACCGGAUGAUAUUUUGAACCGCAUGGUUCAAAAGUGAAAGACGGUCUUGCUGUCACUUAUAGAUGGAUCCGCGCUGCAUUAGCUAGUUGGUAAGGUAACGGCUUACCAAGGCAACGAUGCAUAGCCGACCUGAGAGGGUGAUCGGCCACACUGGAACUGAGACACGGUCCAGACUCCUACGGGAGGCAGCAGUAGGGAAUCUUCCGCAAUGGGCGAAAGCCUGACGGAGCAACGCGGCGUGAGUGAUGAAGGUCUUCGGAUCGUAAAACUCUGUUAUUAGGGAAGAACAUAUGUGUAAGUAACUGUGCACAUCUUGACGGUACCUAAUCAGAAAGCCACGGCUAACUACGU